CCGGCUGCUGCCUGGCGGCCAACGGACCAGGUAGGAUUUCCGGGAGAGGCUGCUGUGGAGGCUGAGGAGGCGGCGGCGGAGACCUGGAAACAAUAUCUCACCUCCCUAAACUGGUUAAUAGUGGCAUGGAAGAUCCAUUUGAGGAAGCAGACCAGCCCGCUACAGAGCCAGGCAUGGUCAUGGACAGUGUGGAAGCAGGAGACACAACACCUCCUACCAAAAGGAAGAGCAAGUUCUCAGGCUUUGGCAAGAUCUUCAAGCCAUGGAAAUGGAGGAAAAAAAAGAGUAGUGAUAAAUUUAAAGAGACUUCAGAAGUUUUAGAACGGAAAAUAUCUAUGCGAAAGCCAAGAGAAGAGCUGGUUAAAAGAGGGGUUCUGUUGGAAGACCCUGAGCAAGGUGGUGAGGAUCCAGGAAAGCCAAGCCAUGCCAUGUUAAAGAAUGGCCAUACCACCCCCAUAGGGAAUGCCGGAUCAUCUAGUCCAGUCCAAGUAGAGGAAGAGCCAGUAAGAUUAGCAAGUCUUAGGAAAGCUAUUCCAGAAGAGGACCUAAAGAAACGACUAGGCUCAACUGGAAGCCAGCCUAAUUCUGAAGCAGAGUCUGUUCCUGAGAAUGUACCCAAACCACCUUUACUUCCUCCCAAAAGACCCUUGUCUUCUUCUCAUGAAGCAAGUGAAGGGCAAGCAAAGGAUGCCACUUCUUCUGGCGGCACAGCAAGGUUCAUCAUCUCCACCUCCAUCACCACAGCACCCGCUGCCACCACUGCUGCCACAAGCCUUGCAAAGACUGUUAAUCUCUCUGUCACCCCUUCCCCAGCACCCAGGACUCUGCCUGCUGCUCCUGCCAGCACUAACACUACUGCUACCCCAAGCCUCACUCAUAUGGUCCCUGCCAAGCAGCCCCCUAUCCCUCCCCCUAAACCAGCUCACAGAAAUAGCAACCCUGUCAUUGGUAAGUAAGUCUUUAGGCUUCCAGUGUUUUGGGUUUGGUUUGAUGUUGGAUGGUUAUUUUAUUUGAUAACUGGUACAACAGUGAUUUGGUCUGUGAGAAUUUUCCAUAUCUUGUCCCUUUGAAUGACCUCAAUAUGGAGAAAAGUCUUAGGUUAAGAAAAAACAGGCCGGGUGCGGUGGCUCACACCUGUAAUCCCAGCACUUUGGGAGGCCGAGGUGGGUGGAUCACAAGGUCAGGAGAUCGAGACCAUCCUGGCAACAUGGUGAAACCCUGUCUCUACUAAAAAUUAAAAAAAUUAGCCAGGUAUGGUGGCACGUGCCUGUAGUCCCAGCUACUUGGGAGGCUGAGGCAAGAGAAUUGCUUGAACCCAGGAGGCAGAGGUUGCAGUGAGCUGAGAUUGUGCCACUGCACUCCAGCCUAGGUGACAGAAAGAGACUCUCAAAAAAACAAAAACAAACAAAAAAG
rnacentral:sRNA from 1 species